GGAAGCGUGCCUGAGUUACCAAGGGUUACUUUGAUAGAGUAAACCACAGAGAUUCGAACCCUCUCACUUCCU
rnacentral:tRNA from 1 species